rnacentral:rRNA from 1 species
GAUGAACGCUGGCGGCGUGCCUAAUACAUGCAAGUCGAGCGAACAGACGAGGAGCUUGCUCCCCUGACGUUAGCGGCGGACGGGUGAGUAACACGUGGAUAACCUACCUAUAAGACUGGGAUAACUUCGGGAAACCGGAGCUAAUACCGGAUAAUAUAUUGAACCACAUGGUUCAAUAGUGAAAGACGGUUUUGCUGUAACUUAUAGAUGGAUCCGCGCCGCAUUAGCUAGUUGGUAAGGUAACGGGUUACCAAGGCAACGAUGCGUAGCCGACGUGAGAGGGUGAUCGGCCACACUGGAGCGGAGACACGGUCCAGACGCCUACGGGAGGCCGCAGUAGGGAAUCUUCCGCAAUGGGCGAAAGCCUGACGGAGCAACGCCGCGUGAGUGAUGAAGGUCUUCGGAUCGUAAAACUCUGUUAUUAGGGAAGAACAAAUGUGUAAGUAACUAUGCACGUCUUGACGGUACCUAAUCAGAAAGCCACGGCUAACUACGUG